rnacentral:lncRNA from 1 species
AUUAUGUUGUAAUCCAUUUGUAUAUAAAGUUUCAUCUCAAAGUAAUGAAUUAUGGAUUUUUUUCAGUCUCUGACAUGUGAGUUGGUGUAUGAAGAAUUGGUUCAUGUCUUAAUUCCCAAUUUGGUGGAGAAGGCAUAUUUGUUAUUUAUUAUGAGUUAUGUCAUUUUGAUAUUAUUGAGCAUGACUAUUAUACACCAAAAAGGAAGCAUCUGAC